AUUGAACGCUGGCGGCAGGCUUAACACAUGCAAGUCGAGCGGAGCGAGGGUGCUUGCACCUUAGCUUAGCGGCGGACGGGUGAGUAAUGCUUAGGAAUCUGCCUAUUAGUGGGGGACAACAUUCCGAAAGGGAUGCUAAUACCGCAUACGCCCUACGGGGGAAAGCAGGGGAUCUUCGGACCUUGCGCUAAUAGAUGAGCCUAAGUCGGAUUAGCUAGUUGGUGGGGUAAAGGCCUCCCACGGCGACGAUCUGUAGCGGGGCUGAGAGGAUGACCCGCCACGCUGGGACUGAGACACGGCCCAGACUCCUACGGGAGGCAGCAGUGGGGAAUAUUGGACAAUGGGCGGAAGCCUGAUCCAGCCAUGCCGCGUGUGUGAAGAAGGCCUUUUGGUUGUAAAGCACUUUAAGCGAGGAGGAGGCUACUAGUAUUAAUACUACUGGAUAGUGGACGUUACUCGCAGAAUAAGCACCGGCUAACUCUGUGCCAGCCGCCGCAGUAACAC
rnacentral:rRNA from 1 species